CGGAGCGCGCGAACUUAACCACUCGGCCACGGGGCCAGCCCCGAAAUGGGUGUUUUUUACUCAUAACAAGCCCCUUUCUACCACAACUGGGUUUACGUUAAUAAUGUGACUUUUGGAAAGCCUCUAAGGAUGAGAGCUGGUUGCCAGUGGAACCAAUCAUGUGAUUAGAGGGUUGGAACUUUCAGUCCCACCCCUGACCUCCGGAGAGGGAAGAGGGGCUGGAGACUGAGUUCAAUCACCAAUGGCCAGUGACUUAAUCAAUCAUACCUACGUCAUGAAGCCUCCAAAAAAACCUCCAAAGAACAGGGUGCAGAGAGCUUCCAGCGUGGCUUGCCAAGCAGUGCCAUAUCCACACCUGGGAUCCGAACCAGUGAACCCUGGGCUGCCAAAGCGGAAUAUGUGAAUUUAACCGCUGUGCCACCGGGCCAGCCCUGUGGUUGGAGUCUUGAUAUCUUCUGAAGGUGGAGCUGACAGAUUUGCUGAUUAAUUGAAGGUCUCAGCUUAGAAGCCUCUCCCUCCAGGAAGUCUUCCCUGAACACCCCACUCCAGUCUGGCUUGAGAGCUGCAGGAGCCCCGUUUUUCUCAUAGCACAUAUCUCACUUCGUUGUAGUCGCCGUUUUAGUUGUCUGUGGAUGGUGUGAGGGCAGAGUUUGGGUCCUGCUCACCAUCGUAUCCCCAGCGCUCAACACAGAGCCAGGCAGUUCUGUGGCUUAAUAAAUAUCAGUUGAAUGAAUGAAUAAAUGUCAAGUGGGCAAGGAGUGGAGAAGUCACCAAAGUCCCAGAUGCCAUGUACACAACCCUGGGCUCUUAGAGUUGGAGUUGAAGCAUUCCAUGAGGGAAAAAACCUGGUCUCCUGCAGGCAACUUCAAGGAGUGUGCCACGACACCACAAACUGGCAGCCAGUGAGAAGGAUGGAAUAACAAAAGAAACAGCCAGUGAGAAGGAUGGAAUAACAAAAGAAACGGGUCCCCAUCUGCCUAGCUCCAGGGAAGGUGUGUCAAUGUGACAUUCAGAGGAGCCCUGCCCAUGUGCUGACUGAGGGGGAGAGCCAGCCUCAGCCAGAGAGAAGGAAGUUCAGCUACCGUGCAUGUGUUACACUGGGGGAUGUGUGCCUUAGAAGCUUCUUGGCUCUCUGUUCAUUUUUUCCACUUUUUAAAAAUCUCCAGAUAUUUCCUAUAUUUGUUUUUUUGACCUUUAAGGAAUGUCUUUACUUUUGAGGUGCUGUUACCAAAUUAUAUUGACACAGUUCAGUAAAAAUCUGCUUAGUACAAAAUUGAUUUGAGUCCAAAAAACAUUGGGAUUCUAUUAAAUAAAUGCAUUCUCUUGCUGCAUCAAAAAA